CAAUUUGUGUUGCUGUGUUUCUGUGGAGUCCUAGCCACGGCUCGCUUCUAGUGUGGCCAAGGGUCAAGGUGCAGAUGGAUGAGUCGUGCAGGGCAACGGAGGAGAGCCCAGGGGAGCGCUGUAAGAAGGUGACAGCCCUGCGAUGCUGCGGUGCCUGCGAGGUGAUGCCGCCGUGCUCGUUGCUGCUUCCUGGUAAGGAAAGGCCUCCUCCGCUCCUGCUGCAGCGUGGUGGUGUGUCGGACACGAUUCCCUGUGUCGGGUGAGGCCUAGGGCUGCCGGUGAGGUGAGCGAGCCCCUUUGGUGGGUGCCGGGGUGUCUCCUUGUGUGCCUGCACUACUGGGGCUGGUGGGAUGGGAAGCUUCAAAUGACCUGCCGAGGCAGGCUUCUGGUAUGCUAAAGGCGAGCGGGUGAGGGCAGCCCCAGGAGUUACCCGGGAGCUGAUAGAAGGGAAGAGGGAAAGGAGGAGGAGGAUGAUGACAUUUUCCCCCUGCCCAGGGUGCAGAAGAUAGCCGACUCCCCAGCUCACCAGAGCUCCCCCUCAGCCUCCCCUGGCCCCCCUUGCCCCGUGCUCCUGCCCCCAGCUC